rnacentral:lncRNA from 1 species
GCUAUUAAAAAAAAAAAAAAAAAAAAAUCUUUGGGGUCAACUUUCCACUUGUGCCUUUAGCUCUUGAACAAGUACUUUUAUGGUUUCUUCUAAUAUAUAGGAUUUAUCUGCAGCUCUGUGAAGAGCUUUUAAAUUUAAUCCAGCGUUGAAGUAGUAAUUUGUUGCUGGGGCUUUAUAACAGGCUUUUCUUUUAACUUUCCCGGGAUGCGGGCUCUUUGUGCGGGCUAAUCUGCGGUACACAAUGCCAAUCUGCUCGGGGUAUCUGGGGUUUGGACCUCAGAUGUCCUCAAAAUACAAGGAAUGGAAGUUGGUAGUAUUGCCACCUUCUCUGAAAAGCACAGCUGGGUCCACAGCCCACGGAGGGACACGUCCAGAGGAGCCAGGUUUCAAAGGGAAGAGCUACCCGAGUCUGGGAGAACAGAGCCAUGGAGUCCCACUGGAGAAGGUACCACGGGGUCGUGCAGAGGAGCACCCUUGGCUUUAACGAGCCAGAUCCUCCAUCAGCAGCAGCAGCAAGUGGCAAGACCAAGAGAGGUGGAGUUGACUGGCCAACCCCUGGUUGUGUUGCCCGUCUCACUGGUGGGAAAUGGGGAACAGGUGGCAGAUGGGGACUUGAGAAUAACGUGGCCAUCAAGCUGCUGUUCUCCAGGAAGAGGAUCCUGGCAAAAACCUGGCACAGUCUUGACUUGUUGCAAAGGACCACACGUUGAAGGCGAGGUGCCUAACAGAGACAUUUCAUAAUCGCCCAAAAGUGCACAAAGUAGUCUUUCCUGCACAGAAAUACAUCGGAAUCAUUUCAGACUGAGCAACAGAAAUUAAAGUUGUGGUUGUACGGGGUGCUCCAGAGAGUAAGGCAUAGAUGAUUUCAGAGAAGACAGGAAUCGAGCCUUUGGACGCUCUGCUGCAAGUGGUCUUGUUCAAAUUCAGCCUCUUGUCUUGCAUGUCUGAAACCAGUUCUCAUUUCUCCAGGGACAGGGAAACUCAACACCGUCAAUCUCCUCUUUCCUCUUCAGACAACAGCAGACACUUCAGUCGAGACUGGUUAAUUCCUUGUGCCUACAUCUUAGAAAAAUGAAGUGACUUUGAAUUAUUGGGGAAGCAGAGAGACCUGAAAUCUCCCAGACAUCCUCUCCAGAUCCUUGGCCUUGGAAAAACCUGAGUCAGGUCUUGGAUCCUCAUAUGCCAUGCGAGAGACCCACAAAGCACUUUGAGAUGGCUGGAGGGGAGGCAGAACUUCCUGGCAAACGGUCUCUAAACUGGUCCCCUCCCUGUGCCACGGCAUUUCUGUUGCUCAUUAACAACACGGAGCCAUAAACAACGGAUGUGCUUGUAUCUAAAUUCUCCAGGAUUAAUUAAAAAUUCAUUGAUGAUGACUUUACUAGAGACUUUUCAAUUAUGCCAAUAGGCUUUGGAUACGGCCCUUACAUUCUUAAUAAACAUAUAGUUUUAAAUGCUGUAGUCUUGUUC